UUCUGUAAUAUUUUGUAAAGAUUUAAUCCUUCAAUAAUUUCAUAUCACAGUGCAGUAGCUAGUUAACUUCCAUCUUGUUAUAUUUGUUUCUAAAUUCUAAAUAUUAUUAAUUUUAUUUAUAAAUACAAAAAUAGUUACAUUAUCUUUGGCAACAUUGUACACGCUAUGGCGCAUAUUACACUCAAUAGUAUCCGUAUCACUCGAUGGUUCACUCUAGUUCGAUCCACGUUCCACGAGUUUAUAAUAGGUACAAAAACAUUGAUGGUUGUUAGGCUAGGCACCUAUAGAAAUCCUAUGACCCGAAUCGCGAUACGGUAUUGAUAGUGUAACACCUCCAUUAAAGUGCACUGCAACACAACCGUUUAUUAGUAAUUUUUAUUUCUGCCUUAUCAAAGGCAGUUGAAGCGAAACGACUUUUAUGCUCCGGCUACACGCUCCGUCUUGGCUGAGCAGUUUUAACUGCGUAGGGAAGAUCGACCUGUAUAAUUUUUUGCAGCUUUUGGAACUGCGCGGGAUACCGUCUUGGUGUCCACACGCACGCACUGAGCAAACUGACUUGUCUCAGACAAGACGGAGCGUGUGGUCAGAGCGUCUACGUAACGAAACAACCCCACAGGUUGCUGUUCUUAUUGUAUUUAGGUUCAUAUUUUCUGCUGUCCUAUAUCUAGAAAGCUGUUAACUGAAAAAAUUUUUUACAUCGGACCAAACUGAAAACCUAAAAACCUUGGUCCUUGUUAGCAUUUUUUCAGAACUUAUUGAUUUUUAAAAAUUCUCACGUUUUUGGAGAUUACUCGAAACUAUUUUUUGCAAUUGACGGUCUUCUUAGAUAUGAAGUUUUGUAGUACAGUGUAUAACUAGUAACUUAUCUAUCUUAAAAAAAUACCUCUACUAAUUAUUUGGUAUCUUGGAAUCCACACGUGCUUUCAUGCAUAUCUGCCAUUAAAAAGUUGUCGACUAAGACAAAGGUUCCUUGGUGUGUGUGAAACCAACAUAUGUAGGUGACGCCAAAUUUCUUGAAUGCUCUGAAGUUCUUGUUUGCAUAAUACUUAGAUGGUUACAUCACCACUUCAGAGCAUUCAAGAAAUUGGCCAUCACCUGCCAACACGCUGCAUAGGUACUCUAUACCGCACUGCCUUCCUAUCUCCUAUACAUAUAGUUUAAAAAGCGGUUAACUGCAAAAAAUACUCAAAAAUAUGGGAUUUUAGGAAAACUGAUGUUUCUAAAAAAAAUUGCUACGUAGAACCAAACUGAAAACUACCUAAACAUCGUAGCAUUUUUUUAAAACAUUAGAUUUUGAAAAUCUGCAAUCAUUUUUUUUUUACAGUUAACGGCUUUUUAUAUAAGUAAAGGACGGCAGUGCACGCAGCGUUAGCAUGCCGUUUGUGUUUUUGCACAGCAAAAAAACCUGGCAUACUAUAUUUCACUAGUAUUCGAGGGCCGCCUGCAUGAGUACGUACCUUACCUGAAGUACGAUAUACGUAUAAGAACCAAGAUAGGUAUAUACAGAUAUCACACCAAGGCACCCCUACUCUUAGUCAUUAUAAAAUUAGUAAUCCUAGUCAGCCUUUGUAUAGCCUAUUAUUUUAAUUAAAUGUCUUAUGGCAGAUCUUUCAAUCUUCAAGUAAACUUUAACUUAGAUAAAUAUAUUAUUUGACGAUUGAUUUUAGAUUGAAAAAAAUAUAGAAAUAAUUAUAGAUAAGAGUUAUAAUAAUUUUAAAAGCAAAUAAUUUAUGGUAUUAGUAUUUGAAUUAAAUGACUCCUAGUUAAUCAGGUUUAAUGUGCCAGGAAAACAGCUGAUUGUCUCAAAGCCAGUCUAUGUAGCCAACUGAUGCUUUGGAAAACAUGUUGGUGGAUUUU